rnacentral:rRNA from 1 species
CCUACGGGUGGCAGCAGUGAGGAAUAUUGGUCAAUGGACGAGAGUCUGAACCAGCCAAGUAGCGUGAAGGAUGACUGCCCUCUGGGUUGUAAACUUCUUUUAUAUGGGAAUAAAAUGUUCCACGUGUGGGAUUUUGUAUGUACCAUAUGAAUAAGGAUCGGCUAACUCCGUGCCAGCAGCCGCGGUAAUACGGAGGCUCCGAGCGUUAUCCGGAUUUAUUGGGGUUAAAGGGAGCGUAGGUGGCUUGUUAAGUCAGUUGUGAAAGUUUGCGGCUCAACUGGAAAAUUGCAGUUGAAACUGGCAGUCGUGAGUACAGUAGAGGUGGGCGGAAGUCGUGGUGUAGCGGUGAAAUGCUUAGAUAUCACGAAGAACUCCGAUUGCGAAGGCAGCGCACUGGAAUGCAACUGACACUGAGGCUCGAAAGUGUGGGUAUCAAACAGGAUUAGAUACCCGUGUAGUC